rnacentral:rRNA from 1 species
GUGCCAGCAGCCGCGGUAAUACGGAAGGUCCGGGCGUUAUCCGGAUUUAUUGGGUUUAAAGGGAGCGCAGGCGGGUUAUCAAGCGUGACGUGAAAUGCCGCGGCUCAACCGUGGAAGUGCGUCGCGAACUGGUUUCCUUGAGUGCGUGCGACGCCGGCGGAAUUCGUGGUGUAGCGGUGAAAUGCUUAGAUAUCACGAAGAACCCCGAUUGCGAAGGCAGCCGGCGAGUCCGUAACUGACGCUAAAGCUCGAAGGUGCGGGUAUCGAACAGGAUUAGAUACCCUGGUAGUCCGCACGGUAAACGAUGGAUGCCCGCUGUAUGCGAUAGACGGUAUGCGGCCAAGCGAAAGCGUUAAGCAUCCCACCUGGGGAGUACGCCGGCAACGGUGAAACUCAAAGGAAUUGACGGGGGCCCGCACAAGCGGAGGAACAUGUGGUUUAAUUCGAUGAUACGCGAGGAACCUUACCCGGGCUUGAACUGCACAGGAAGGAUACAGAGAUGUUGACGCCCUUCGGGGCCUGUGUGGAGGUGCUGCAUGGUUGUCGUCAGCUCGUGCCGUGAGGUGUCGGCUUAAGUGCCAUAACGAGCGCAACCCCUGUCCCCGGUUGCCAUCAGGUGAUGCUGGGCACUCCGUGGAUACUGCCACCGUAAGGUGCGAGGAAGGUGGGGAUGACGUCAAAUCAGCACGGCCCUUACGUCCGGGGCUACACACGUGUUACAAUGGGUGGUACAGAGAGUCGGGCGCACGCAAGUGCGCUCCAAUCAUGAAAGCCAUCCUCAGUUCGGACCGGGGUCUGCAACCCGACCCCGCGAAGCUGGAUUCGCUAGUAAUCGCGCAUCAGCCAUGGCGCGGUGAAUACGUUCCCGGGCCUUGUACACACCGCCCGU